rnacentral:rRNA from 1 species
UACGUAGGGCGCAAGCGUUGUCCGGAAUUAUUGGGCGUAAAGAGCUCGUAGGCGGUCUGUUGCGUCUGCCGUGAAAUCCCGAGGCUUAACCUCGGGCCUGCGGUGGAUACGGGCGGACUAGAGGUAGGUAGGGGAGAAUGGAAUUCCCGGUGUAGCGGUGAAAUGCGCAGAUAUCGGGAGGAACACCGGUGGCGAAGGCGGUUCUCUGGGCCUUACCUGACGCUGAGGAGCGAAAGCAUGGGGAGCGAACAGG